GCUUUCAACAUCCCCGUCUCAGAGGUGAAAAGACGGUUCCGGCCUGGCCGGCGCCCGACGACCUUUGUGAGACUGAAGGC
rnacentral:sRNA from 18 species